rnacentral:misc_RNA from 1 species
ACCUUGCCAGUAUGUCCCUGAAGCGUCCUACAGCACACCAGAUCGGUGGCCCCGAAGCUUACAGAAGACUUCCCAUGCGCCUUCGCGUAUCCCGCAACAUCAGUGUCUAGCAACAGCAGGCGCCUCUGCUUCAAGCGUUCUCUAAGACUAUUCACCGUUUCAGUGGCAGCAACGUGGCGGGCCUUUAGCUCCGCAACAGACAUUUCUUUCUCGUAAAGGAAACCAAAAAUUGAACUAAAAGGCAGGCAUUUGCUUUUAAGCUCGGAUUCGAUUCUGAGCCCUAGUGAUCAUGAUGUGAAAAGGCUAAAGUAGCUAAUACAACAGUGAGAGAAAGAGAAUUAGGUGGUUCAGGCAAGAGAGAUGUGGCCUCGAUGAUUAGAAAGAGAAAUGAAAAAGAAAAAAAUGGAUACUUCCGAGAUUGAGAUGGAGAAGAGGAGGAGCAAACGGUGAGCGAGGAGGAGUGGUG